GCAAAUUCAUAGGGGAUAUGGCUGUCAGUGGCAACUAGCUGUCAUGGCUAUGUUCCACCCCCAUUGUCAGAGGCACUGUACAGCUGAAAACCAGAAUACCAGGUGAGGCAAGUGAUGUUGCACUCAGGUCCUGUUUUUAGGCUUCCCACAGGAAUCUGGCCGGCCAUUGUGAGAAGACAGAGCUGGACUACAUGGGCUAUGUACUUAAAUCCUAUUAAAUGUCCAGACGAAUAAACCCACUGACAGCAUGCAAAAGAGAAAGGGAUUUCUCAGUUUCAUAUCGUAACUGUAGAUAAAUGGUCUCCCUUCAUAAUGCAAUGUAGUCUGUUUUGUGACUUUAUUUUACUGGGUAUACAUUUGUUUUUGUAACAUUUCAAAUAGAUUAAUAAAAGUAAGACAGACAGGCAGGCAGGCAGACAAGAGUGCUCCUGUGAGUCUAAAGCAGCGGUUCUCAACCUGUGGGUCCCCAGAUGUACUACAACUCCCAUCAUCCCUGAGCUCUGGCCUUGCUAGCUAGGGGUGAUGGGAGUUGUAGUUCAACAACAUCUGGGGACCCACAGGUUGAGUAUCCACUUGGAAAGGAAGAUGUCCCGUAUAUAUUGCUCUAGCCCAGACUCUUUCCAUCUGUUAUUGGGGCGGGGGGAAGGAUUCUGCCCUUUAUCUUCCUUAGUUGCAGGUGGAUCAUUCCCAGUGUAAAGGCACAGCACAAUCUCUCUCCCUCAGAGGAGGGUGCCUGUUGUGUUCCUGCACGAGUCACUGCUUUGGCCUUCCUUCCUUCCAUUCAGUCAUCUAUUUCAUCUGCAGGAUUAUGUCUUGUCUCUACAUGGACUGCAAGUGGACUGUUGCUGCUGCUAAAGAUGCAAAAUCACCCCCUCUAAGAGAACACAGAACCUAUGAAACUACAUUAUACUGAGUCAGUGUUUUCCCUACACUGACUUGCAGUAUCAGCAGCUCUCCAGAGGUUCAGUUAGGAGUCUUUCCCACAGCUUCCAAGGGUUGAACCCGGGACCUUCUGCACGCAAAGCUCACUGAGCUAAGGCUCUUCCUCCAAGAUGCAUGUUGUGCCUCUGUGCAAGUCCCUCCUCUGAGCUGGCUUCCUUCUAAUUAGAACAGUGACUCACGUGGAAACACAAGUGUGGACUCCUUUGCAGGUGUCAUUCUCUUACACACCCUGGAGGAAUGGAAAUCCAGAGAAGGGAAGGAGUUUAUUUGGCUAUCGGAGCUUUGGGAAAUCCUGAUUGACGGCAGCCAGAAGUAGACGCAACAAAGAUUUUGAAGAGACAGAAAAAGUCUUUUGAAAGAAAAUUAUAUGAAAAUGAUGUAUAGAUGGUAUAUUACACCAGUACAGAUAGCAAAAAUGUACAAAACCGGGUCAAAUACAUGUUGGAAAUGCAGAGAAAAAGAAGGGACUUUUUAUCAUAUGUGGUGGGAAUGUAGAGAAGUUAAAAAAAAAUUGGGAAAUGAUAUAUAAUGAAUUGAAAAAAAUGUUUAAAAUGACAUUUGUAAAAAAACCCAAAAGCAUUUUUGUUAGGGAUUGUAGGACAAGACCUGCCAGGAAAAACAAAGAACUUAUUUAUGUAUGCUACAACAGUGGCAAGAGUCUUGAUCGCACAAGGAUGGAAGAACGAGGAAAUCCCAACGAAAGAACAGCGGCAAGAAAAAUUUAUGAGCUACGCAGAGCGGGCUAAACUAACAUACAAAUUGCGGGGCAAGGACAACUGUGACUUUAAGGAAGAAUGGGAGCUUUUUACAAAUUAUCUAAAAAGACAACAAAAUGAACUGGACUCCUUGGCAGGUUUUAAAUAAACAUACACAAACUUAUUGGUUGAUAACAUGAUAGAUAGAUAACAUAAGGAUAUGUAUAAUUUUAUAAAAUGCAGAGAAUAAUAUGUGCUGAGAAAUCAGAGAGAGGAGGGAAGUCUCUGGUGGGGGGGAGGGAUGGAAGGGGGUGGGGAAAAAGGGGGGAAAUAAUGUAUAUGAUUAUAUGGUUUGAUGAUUUGUUAUGUUGAAAUUGCCAAUAAAAUAUUUAUAUAAAAAAAGAAGAGACAGAAAACGAGGGUCUCUUGUGAUUUCCCCUAUGUAAUCAGACAGUAUCGUUAGCCUAGACACAUGUACUCUUUUGCAGUCCAACUCCUGCAGUGGCAAAGAAGCCCAGUAUUUCAGUGUGCGGGAAAUGUGGCCUCCAUCAAACAGAACUGCAAGUUUUUAGAGAUUCUGUGCAAAGAAGGAGAAAAACAUUAUUCCAGGGGGGAAGGAGGAAAGAAAAACAAAGCCUGAUGACUCCUUUACUUGGCAAUCACAGCCUGCUCAACAUUGGCUCCUGAAUGAUGUUAAUAAACUGACUAUUUCCUUUGCCACGAAUCUGGCCAGG